rnacentral:rRNA from 1 species
GACGAACGCUGGCGGCGUGCUUAACACAUGCAAGUCGAACGGUGAAGGGACCAGCUUGCUGGUUCUGGAUGAGCGGCGAACGGGUGAGUAACACGUGAGUAACCUGCCCCCUUCUCCUGGAUAACCGCAUGAAAGCGUGGCUAAUACGGGAUAUUCUGUGUCUGUCCCAUGGUCGGUCCUGGAAAGCGAUUGUUCCGGCGGGUAAUGGGGCCGCGGCCUCUCAGCUUGUUGGUGGGGUGAUGGCCGACCAAGGCGGCGACGGGUAGCCGGCCGGGGGGGGGGGACGGUUAGACUGGGACUGAGACACGGACCAGAAUGCUACGCGAGGCAGGAGUGGGGUAUACUACGCGAUGGACGCAAGCCUGAUGCAGCGACGCCGCGUGAGAGAUGGAGGCCUUCGGGUUGUAAUCCUCUUUCGGAAGUGAAGCAGGCCUGGUCCUUGUGGGUGGGUUGACGGUAGCUAGAUAAGAAGCGCCGGCUAACUACGUG